AGAGUUUGAUCCUGGCUCAGGACGAACGCUGGCGGCGUGCCUAAUACAUGCAAGUCGUACGCUUCUUUUUCCACCGGAGCUUGCUCCACCGGAAAAAGAAGAGUGGCGAACGGGUGAGUAACACGUGGGUAACCUGCCCAUCAGAAGGGGAUAACACUUGGAAACAGGUGCUAAUACCGUAUAACAAUCGAAACCGCAUGGUUUUGAUUUGAAAGGCGCUUUCGGGUGUCGCUGAUGGAUGGACCCGCGGUGCAUUAGCUAGUUGGUGAGGUAACGGCUCACCAAGGCCACGAUGCAUAGCCGACCUGAGAGGGUGAUCGGCCACAUUGGGACUGAGACACGGCCCAAACUCCUACGGGAGGCAGCAGUAGGGAAUCUUCGGCAAUGGACGAAAGUCUGACCGAGCAACGCCGCGUGAGUGAAGAAGGUUUUCGGAUCGUAAAACUCUGUUGUUAGAGAAGAACAAGGAUGAGAGUAACUGUUCAUCCCUUGACGGUAUCUAACCAGAAAGCCACGGCUAACUACGUGCCAGCAGCCGCGGUAAUACGUAGGUGGCAAGCGUUGUCCGGAUUUAUUGGGCGUAAAGCGAGCGCAGGCGGUUUCUUAAGUCUGAUGUGAAAGCCCCCGGCUCAACCGGGGAGGGUCAUUGGAAACUGGGAGACUUGAGUGCAGAAGAGGAGAGUGGAAUUCCAUGUGUAGCGGUGAAAUGCGUAGAUAUAUGGAGGAACACCAGUGGCGAAGGCGGCUCUCUGGUCUGUAACUGACGCUGAGGCUCGAAAGCGUGGGGAGCAAACAGGAUUAGAUACCCUGGUAGUCCACGCCGUAAACGAUGAGUGCUAAGUGUUGGAGGGUUUCCGCCCUUCAGUGCUGCAGCUAACGCAUUAAGCACUCCGCCUGGGGAGUACGACCGCAAGGUUGAAACUCAAAGGAAUUGACGGGGGCCCGCACAAGCGGUGGAGCAUGUGGUUUAAUUCGAAGCAACGCGAAGAACCUUACCAGGUCUUGACAUCCUUUGACCACUCUAGAGAUAGAGCUUCCCCUUCGGGGGCAAAGUGACAGGUGGUGCAUGGUUGUCGUCAGCUCGUGUCGUGAGAUGUUGGGUUAAGUCCCGCAACGAGCGCAACCCUUAUUGUUAGUUGCCAUCAUUUAGUUGGGCACUCUAGCAAGACUGCCGGUGACAAACCGGAGGAAGGUGGGGAUGACGUCAAAUCAUCAUGCCCCUUAUGACCUGGGCUACACACGUGCUACAAUGGGAAGUACAACGAGUCGCGAAGUCGCGAGGCUAAGCUAAUCUCUUAAAGCUUCUCUCAGUUCGGAUUGUAGGCUGCAACUCGCCUACAUGAAGCCGGAAUCGCUAGUAAUCGCGGAUCAGCACGCCGCGGUGAAUACGUUCCCGGGCCUUGUACACACCGCCCGUCACACCACGAGAGUUUGUAACACCCGAAGUCGGUGAGGUAACCUUUUGGAGCCAGCCGCCUAAGGUGGGAUAGAUGAUUGGGGUGAAGUCGUAACAAGGUAGCCGUAUCGGAAGGUGCGGCUGGAUCACCU
rnacentral:rRNA from 2 species